CUAUGACUGGGUAGAGAAGUCAGGCGACCUCUAACUUGCAGGCUCAGUCAUCUUCAGUUCAACAAGGAGAGAGUAGGAAGCCACAUACUGGCCUCGGAGGUUCAAUUCAGUAGGGAAUUGAAGUUUGGACACUGUAUGAGGCUGUGCUCUGUGAAGGAGAAGAGUUGCUAAAUAGAAGAGAAACUUGUCAGUCAGAGCCCUACACAUCUCUGCUCUGGGAUUGUUCCCUGAGAGAGAGAGAAACAUGAGAAAGAGAAGCCAGUUCUCUCAUUGGGUGGAAAAAAAAAAAAGAUCACCAGAAACCCAGAUGGAAGAAGCCCAGAGCUGGCGAAGCUGGAUGGAUGUCAGUUAUGCCCGCUGAUUGACUGAGCUGCGAUCCCGUCAUCGUGACCACUGCACCUCUCCAUCUGCUAACCUCAGAGUAGUGAGGCCCAGGAGUCAUGUCUGGCCUGGUGCGGGAAAAAUGGACAAG
rnacentral:lncRNA from 1 species